GGGCCUAAUACCUGCCAGUCGAGCGGACAGAAGGGAGCUUGCUCCCGGAUGUUAGCGGCGGACGGGUGAGUAACACGUGGGUAACCUGCCUGUAAGACUGGGAUAACUCCGGGAAACCGGAGCUAAUACCGGAUAGUUCCUUGAACCGCAUGGUUCAAGGAUGAAAGACGGUUUCGGCUGUCACUUACAGAUGGACCCGCGGCGCAUUAGCUAGUUGGUGAGGUAACGGCUCACCAAGGCGACGAUGCGUAGCCGACCUGAGAGGGUGAUCGGCCACACUGGGACUGAGACACGGCCCAGACUCCUACGGGAGGCAGCAGUAGGGAAUCUUCCGCAAUGGACGAAAGUCUGACGGAGCAACGCCGCGUGAGUGAUGAAGGUUUUCGGAUCGUAAAGCUCUGUUGUUAGGGAAGAACAAGUGCAAGAGUAACUGCUUGCACCUUGACGGUACCUAACCAGAAAGCCACGGCUAACUACGUGCCAGCAGCCGCGGUAAUACGUAGGUGGCAAGCGUUGUCCGGAAUUAUUGGGCGUAAAGGGCUCGCAGGCGGUUUCUUAAGUCUGAUGUGAAAGCCCCCGGCUCAACCGGGGAGGGUCAUUGGAAACUGGGAAACUUGAGUGCAGAAGAGGAGAGUGGAAUUCCACGUGUAGCGGUGAAAUGCGUAGAGAUGUGGAGGAACACCAGUGGCGAAGGCGACUCUCUGGUCUGUAACUGACGCUGAGGAGCGAAAGCGUGGGGAGCGAACAGGAUUAGAUACUUUGUGUUA
rnacentral:rRNA from 1 species